UACGUAGGUGGCAAGCGUUGUCCGGAAUUAUUGGGCGUAAAGCGCGCGCAGGCGGUUUCUUAAGUCUGAUGUGAAAGCCCACGGCUCAACCGUGGAGGGUCAUUGGAAACUGGGAAGCUUGAGUGCAGGAGAGGAGAGUGGAAUUCCACGUGUAGCGGUGAAAUGCGUAGAUAUGUGGAGGAACACCAGUGGCGAAGGCGACUCUCUGGCCUGUAACUGACGCUGAGGCGCGAAAGCGUGGGGAGCGAACAGG
rnacentral:rRNA from 1 species